CACGACUCUCUCCACCAGCUUGAAUGGCUGCUCUAUCCUGGGCCGUGUCAGGGGCGUGAAGUGCACCACGCCCACGUCCACCUGCGUCGUGAGCAAAGGGGUUAUCGUGUUCUCCUGGGAGGCCUUGCUUCUAAACAUCCUUGUGGCUACAAAACUCCACAAAAUUGGCCUGCAGUCUGUGAGGAUGGAGUGUUUUCAGGGUGGAGGGGAAG